AGUAGACAGGUUAUGUUGGGUUGGGAGGACAGCAGUAGACAGGUUAUGCUGGGUUGGAAGGUGACAGCAGUAGACAGGUUAUGCUGGGCUGGGAGGUGACAGCAGUAGACAGGUUAUGUUGGGUUGGGAGUGAUAGCAGUAGACAGGUUAUGUUGGUUGGGAGAUGACAGCAGUAGACAGGUAUGUUGGGUUGGGAGGUGACAGCAGUAGACAGGUUAUGUUGGCGUUGUGGAGGUUGAUAGCAGUAGACAGGUUAUGACUGGGUUGGGAGGUGACAGCAGUAGACAGGUUAUGUUGGGUUGGGAGGUGACAGCAGUAGACAGGUUAUGUUGGUUGGAAGGUGAUAGCAGUAGACUGGGUUAUGCUGGGUUGGGAGGUGAUAUAGCAGUAGACAGGUUAG